rnacentral:pre_miRNA from 7 species
CUCUGGUGGAAUUGAAAGACCCCCGAAGGGAGACCCUCACUCAGGCCCCGGGACAGCCGCGUACCCAAGAAGACACUGAGACCA